UUGUGGUGACGGUAGGUAGAUAAGAAGCACCGGCUAACUACGUGCCAGCAGCCGCGGUAAUACGUAGGGUGCAAGCGUUGUCCGGAAUUACUGGGCGUAAAGAGCUCGUAGGUGGUUUGUCGCGUCGUCUGUGAAAUCCCGGGGCUUAACUUCGGGCGUGCAGGCGAUACGGGCAUAACUUGAGUGCUGUAGGGGAGACUGGAAUUCCUGGUGUAGCGGUGAAAUGCGCAGAUAUCAGGAGGAACACCGAUGGCGAAGGCAGGUCUCUGGGCAGUUACUGACGCUGAGGAGCGAAAGCAUGGGUAGCGAACAGGAUUAGAUACCCUGGUAGUCCAUGCCGUAAACGGUGGGCGCUAGGUGUAGGGGGCUUCCACGUCUUCUGUGCCGUGGCUAACGCAUUAAGCGCCCCGCCUGGGGAGUACGGCCGCAAGGCUAAAACUCAAAGGAAUUGACGGGGGCCCGCACAAGCGGCGGAGCAUGUGGAUUAAUUCGAUGCAACGCGAAGAACCUUACCUGGGCUUGACAUAUACAGGAUCGGGCUAGAGAUAGUCUUUCCCUUGUGGUCUGUAUACAGGUGGUGCAUGGUUGUCGUCAGCUCGUGUCGUGAGAUGUUGGGUUAAGUCCCGCAACGAGCGCAACCCUUGUCUUAUGUUGCCAGCACGUUAUGGUGGGAACUCAUGAGAGACUGCCGGGGUUAACUCGGAGGAAGGUGGGGAUGACGUCAAAUCAUCAUGCCCCUUAUGU
rnacentral:rRNA from 1 species